UGAGUUCUGAAACUGAAGGCAGCCACCACUGCUAUGCUGGAGUCAAUGAUGAUAAAACCCAACAGAUGAAUUGUGCACAGGAACAAGAUCGGUGCUACAAAGUUCACACUAAAGACAUGAGAGUAAUCCGAGGAUGUGCCUCUGAGAGCACCUGCAAAUCCCCCAAAGGCUUAUAUGCGUAUUUCAACUUCACCCAGGAAAUGAAAAUUAACUGCUGCAAUCGAAAUCUCUGCAAUGGCGCAGCACAGCCAGGAUGGAGCGGCCGCCUUCUGGUUCUUCUUCUUGCCCCUGUUUUGCUCCUCAGACUCUGCUAGACUCAUCUUCAUCAUUUUAAUGCCAUACUGAAGACAGCGCUUGGGCUUCAUCGCCUGUAACUUGAUGGCUUUUCUCUCAGACGCGCUCACUUGUGACAUGAAAGCCUUUGAUGGAGAUGGCGUGUCUGACUGGCCUGUGCGCUUCAUUUGCCUUAAAAUGAUUAUUUACAGGGAGAGCUAAAAAGCUGCUUGUUAAUUAAAAAUGCAAUUGUGUGAUGUCGCUGAGCCUGUGGUUCUCCUGCUCUUUGACACGGCAGGCAGGCCUUUUGUAUUGCGAGUUGAUGACUGGCCUCGUUCUCAAAAAUAAAAGGCCACUUUCAUGAUGCAGUGC